rnacentral:rRNA from 1 species
AUUGAACGCUGGCGGCAUGCCUUACACAUGCAAGUCGAACGGCAGCACGGGAGCAAUCCUGGUGGCGAGUGGCGAACGGGUGAGUAAUACAUCGGAACGUGCCCAAUCGUGGGGGAUAACGCAGCGAAAGCUGUGCUAAUACCGCAUACGAUCUACGGAUGAAAGCAGGGGACCGCAAGGCCUUGCGCGAAUGGAGCGGCCGAUGGCAGAUUAGGUAGUUGGUGAGGUAAAGGCUCACCAAGCCUUCGAUCUGUAGCUGGUCUGAGAGGACGACCAGCCACACUGGGACUGAGACACGGCCCAGACUCCUACGGGAGGCAGCAGUGGGGAAUUUUGGACAAUGGGCGAAAGCCUGAUCCAGCAAUGCCGCGUGCAGGAUGAAGGCCUUCGGGUUGUAAACUGCUUUUGUACGGAACGAAACGGUUCUUUCUAAUAAAGAGGGCUAAUGACGGUACCGUAAGAAUAAGCACCGGCUAACUACGUGCCAGCAGCCGCGGUAAUACGUAGGGUGCAAGCGUUAAUCGGAAUUACUGGGCGUAAAGCGUGCGCAGGCGGUUAUGUAAGACAGUUGUGAAAUCCCCGGGCUCAACCUGGGAAUUGCAUCUGUGACUGCAUAGCUAGAGUACGGUAGAGGGGGAUGGAAUUCCGCGUG